AGUGAACGCUGGCGGUAGGCCUAACACAUGCAAGUCGAACGGCAGCACAGUAAGAGCUUGCUCUUACGGGUGGCGAGUGGCGGACGGGUGAGGAAUACAUCGGAAUCUACUUUUUCGUGGGGGAUAACGUAGGGAAACUUACGCUAAUACCGCAUACGACCUACGGGUGAAAGCAGGGGAUCUUCGGACCUUUCGCGAUUGAAUGAGCCGAUGUCGGAUUAGCUAGUUGGCGGGGUAAAGGCCCACCAAGGCGACGAUCCGUAGCUGGUCUGAGAGGAUGAUCAGCCACACUGGAACUGAGACACGGUCCAGACUCCUACGGGAGGCAGCAGUGGGGAAUAUUGGACAAUGGGCGAAAGCCUGAUCCAGCCAUACCGCGUGGGUGAAGAAGGCCUUCGGGUUGUAAAGCCCUUUUGUUGGGAAAGAAAAGCAGCAGGUUAAUCCACCGAUGUUCUGACGGUACCCAAAGAAUAAGCCCCGGCUAACUUCGUG
rnacentral:rRNA from 1 species